UUGGCUUCAUCAUCAACAUAUAUUUCCAUUGGCUGUAAGGAACAGAUAUCAGAGUAAAUGGUAUUAGCAAGCUUUCCUCAAGCAAUGACUUCCACAACUAAAAUGAGGACGGAUGAAGAACCCCUGAACUGAGAUCCUCGUCCAUCAGGUUUCCUCUUGAAAGAUGUGAGUAUUGCAAUGGAACAUCAAUAUUGCUCCGCACAUUAAGGGCAAUAAAAUUGAGCAUGAUGAAACCUUGAGGCCACAUAACUCCCGACUCAAAACCCACCCAGCACUGUUAGUAUUGUAGAUAUAUAGGAAAGGAAAAACACCGUGAUGAUAGUAGAUCCCACUGAGCACAUACACCACUAAACCACAAUCUAAAUUGCCUAUUCAGAGUGUCCUAAUUCUCUAAACCCUAAAAAGGUACCCAAUGUAUUAUUCAAUUAAGACCCUGCAUCCACGUAUCAAUGGCAGAUUUCCCAGGGCAGAGGGUGCUCAAAUAAACCUACGAUCUCCCAGAGAAGGCUAAACAUAAUUCAAGAUUACAAGACGUGCAAACCGAGGUAGCAUUGGCUGUGGGACAUUACAUCUUGCAUAAACUUCUUGCAGACUGGGCGUAUCUCUUUGCUGAGUGUAGCUGAGAACAUCAUAACUUGCUUAUCAUGAGGAGUCAUCUUGAAAAUCUCUUGCACAUCCCUUCGCAUGUCUGAAAAAAAAAAUACUAAAAAGUGUCAAAACAUACAUUCUAUUCAUGGAGAGGUAAGAUAUCUAAUAUAUAGAUUAUUAGAAUUCAGCAUACCAAGUGACUCGAGCAUUUUAUCACACUCGUCAAGAAUAAAAUGCCUCACAUUCUUCAAAGAGAGAUCUUUGUCCCUGGCGAGUGCAAGCACCCUACCAGGUGUACCAACAACAAUGUGAGGACAUUCAUUCUUCAGCAAGUCUUUAUGAAUUUUGAUGUUGACUCCACCAUAGAACACUGACACCUUUGUAUCAGGCAGAUAGGUACUGAAUCGCACAAACUCAUUGCAGAUCUGCAAGUAAUUUUCAACAGCAAAAGAUUACACAACAUGGGGGGAAGGGUGAUAACACAGAACUAUAGGAGCCAAAAACCUGAGUUAUACAGAAAAGUCAUACCUGGUAAGCCAGCUCUCUUGUAUGGCACAAGAUAAGUGCAGAAACCUGUCCAGGAGACGGUUCAAUCUGUUGCAGAGUAGACAACACAAACACAGCAGUCUUUCCCAUACCAGAUUUUGCUUGGCAAAUAACAUCCAUGCCCAAGAUAGCUUGAGGGAUACAUUCAUGUUGAACUGGGGGAGAACCAAAGAAAAUUGCACCGAAGGAACCGUUUAGUAGUAGAAUAUAACCUCCAUUUCUUUAUAAUUGGUGGCUUUACGACAUGCUAAGCUCACUCCAAAUCAAUAGAUUGAAAUAGCGUUUAUUACCUGGAAAAAAAAGUAAUCAAUAAAACGUUAAUGGACAAAGUAAACGAAACCAAUUAUAACAGAAAAACACAAAAACGAAUCUGAAUACAGCCAACACAACUUUACUUAGACGUGGUAGGUAAAGUAUAUGUAUCUUAAACCGACAUAUCUUCUCAAAAGUAGACGAAGUACAAAAAGUUAAAUGUCUAAGAACAACAAAAAUAGCUUUUGUGGAAGUAAUUAUGUAAGUUUAUAGUAUAUCAAUAGGUAACAGAAUUGUGCAAAGCAAAGGCAAGGAAGAAGACUCAAAAUAGAGUGAGAACUGAAUUGUGGAAGUAAGUUCUGUAAGUUUAUACCUUCAGAUGGAUGUUCAAAUCCAGAGUCAACAAUAGCUCGGAGAAGCUCCGGUUUUAAGAGGAAGUCUCUGAAUCCAGAACUGUGUAUUCCAACGUAACCUCUGCAACAAAAAGAAAACACAAGAAGAGAAGAGGAUUACACAUGAGAGUAUCAAAUAAGUUUCUAGCUGAAAGUCAUAUAUAAGUUUCCAAUAAUUACAGAGCAUUGAAGAAUUAAGAAACUGCAAUUUAUAAAGUGAAGCGACUAAUUAAAGCCUUACUGCUAACAACUAGAGAUCUAAGGAACCUCGAACUUAAACAUCAACUUUCUCAUUAACAAAUCAAGCUAAACAUAAAACUCACUUCUUCACGGCUUCGCCGUUAACUUUAUUUCCAGAAUCUGGGACCUUCUCGUCUUCUUCCUCGUAAUCCAGAAGCUCCUCCUCGUAGGCUUCGUUGUCUCUAGCGUCUCCCAUACUUCACAGGUUCUACACAAACAAUAUAAAUUUCAGAAAAAGUUCGCAAUUCGGUGCAAAACGAAAACCCUAAAGUUUGGGGAGAAACGUUCCCGAACACUAAGCGUGUAAAAUGAAUUUGCUAAUGAUCAAUGAAAUCUGAUGAACAGAGAGCGAGAAGAUACCUGAGAACUGAGCAGAGCUUGUCAGAUCGCGAAUUGGGAUUAGGGUUUCGAAUUCUCUGAUUGCAAGAGGAAGGAUAAAAUAUCUGAGCUUCACUUAGGUCAAAGACAGAUACGUAGUGAAGGAGACUGGAUACGGCUUACCUAAACUCUAAAUUGGGCUUUGUUUUGAUGGGCCUAUAUUUUGUUUGUCCUAAUGGGUUUAUGACUACAGUUAAAGCCUUGUCCACCCAAUUAUUAAGAAUACAAUAUUAAUAGGACAAACGAUGUAGAGAAGAAGACUUGUUCGUGUUUGUUAACUAGAAACUAAAAACCCUAAGUUUUAAGGAAUAUUAAAAAUGGUACACUCGAGGAAGUUCCGAGGUGUUCGCCAGAGACAAUGGGGUUCUUGGGUCUCUGAGAUUCGUCAUCCUCUUUUGUAAGUGUACUCUCUUCAUAUACAUACAUAUAUGAUCUCAACAUAUAUUACAAUGUUAUAUAUAUUGCUUAUUUUCAUAUGAAGCUAGAAUCUUUAGUAUUUCAUAAAAAAUUACUAGUAAAUUAUUAAAUGCAAAUAAAUUUAACGUUGAAAAAAUUAUCCUUUUCAAACUCGUGUCAUGUAAAUGUAUGCAUAUGUGAAAGAGUGUGGGUGUAAAAAAAAAAAUCAGGAAGAGAAGAGUAUGGCUUGGAACAUUCGAAACGGCAGAAGCGGCUGCGAGAGCUUACGACCAAGCGGCUCUUCUCAUGAACGGUCAGAACGCUAAGACCAAUUUCCCUGUCGUAAAAUCUGAGGAAGGCUCCGAUCACGUUAAAGACGUAAACUCUACGUUAAUGUCGCCCAAGUCGUUAUCUGAGCUCUUGAACGCCAAGCUGAGGAAGAGUUGCAAAGACCUAACGCCGUCUUUGACAUGUCUCCGUCUAGACACGGACAGUUCCCACAUCGGAGUUUGGCAGAAACGGGCCGGGUCGAAAACGAGUCCGACUUGGGUGAUGCGCCUGGAACUCGGGACCGUAGCUAAUGAAAGUGCGGUUGACUUGGGGAUGAAUACAAAGAAACAAACCGUCGAGAAAGAAGAAGAGGAAGAAGAAACUAUUAGUGAUGAGGAUCAGUUAGCUAUGGAGAUGAUCGAGGAGUUGCUGAAUUGGAGUUGACUUUGACCUUGGCACUUGGAUGUCUCAAAAGCGAGUAAAAAGGGUUUUCUUCAUUAUCAUCCGGAUUUUUUUUUCUUUCUUAAAGCUGCUAUGGAUCUAUUUAUUCGAUUAUAAAUGUAAGAAAAUUGUCAAAAAAAUACAUGUAAAAAAUCUAGUAUAUAUAUAUACAGACUUGUAUUUUUUUUCUUGGUAAUAAAGUGUAGUAUACAUGUGUGUUGUAUUUGAUCAAUAUAACAGAUUGUUGGGUUCUAGUAAUAUAUGUAUUUUAUUUUUUAUGUAUCCAUUGGUCUACUUGUCAAAAGGGGGGAGAUAAUUAUUUGCAACAUCUAUGACUCUUUUCACCAUCGCAGGUAUAGGUUGUAAUAUUAUGAAACGUAAUCUUAUGAGACCCAACGAAAGUUGUGAAUGAUUGACACGACAAUCAACUAAUUACGUUUCUUCAAAUCACAUAUUUUAAACAUGAAACCCUACUUGGUCCAGUACUUUUGUUAGUAUGACCAAUAAAAUCAUAAUUCAAAGCUAGAUUAUUGUGUUCUAUUAGUGUAUAUGUAACCUAAUUUCUUAUAAUAAAGGAACCUAUACAGAUAAAAGAGUCAAUUCAACAGAUAUAUAUUAAAUGGAUUUUCCUGCAAUUUUGAUGAGAGCCAUAUUGAAAAUGAAUCUAAAGUCAAUAAUCACUAGUAACUUGAUGAUCUCUUUCUCUCGAGUACAAACGGUCUAAACACACAAGAAAUUUUUUUAUUGUCCUCAUAAAAGACUAAAACAGCAACAGAGCAAGGAUAGUCGAGAGACUACAUGUGUGACCCCUUCGAACACAAACAAUGUCGUAUAUGAAGAGGUACUCCUGAGAGAGCAAGCCUACUUUAAGAAGGCACUGCAUAUAAAGAAGAACAAAAGUCAAUGUCAAAACCAGACAAAAACAAGCUUUUGUGCAACUGGUAAAAGGAUUCACUCUUACUGUAUGUGGAGGUAUCAAUCUGUUCAGGGAGCUCCUUGAUAUCAACCUCAAACCUCUCUUGUACCUGUCCACAUUCAAAAUUGCUACAUUAAUAAAAUACGCAACUCGAUUAUGAGUCGAAGAUGGAUGGACUUAUGAAGAAUAUCCAAGUCCGAACCUGAUUAAGAACAUCAGAAUCUGAAGCUGAUGCAACAAAUGUGAUCGCUAGACCCUUUGUUCCAAAUCUACCAGCUCUCCCAACCUAUAUAUCAUACAUAGUGCAAAACAGUUACAUUACAAGAGCCCUUUCAGUGUGAUCAAUGAUAAAAACUUUCAUGGUUCAAUAAAUACGAAUACUUACCCUGUGAAGAUAUGUAUCAGCAGAAUCUGGCAUGUCAUAGUUGAUAACAAUAUUGACACGCUCAAUGUCAAUGCCUCUCCCCACCAAAUCUGUUGCCACAAGGAUCCUCUUGUGUCCUUCCUUGAAGCUUUUGUAGCGAGUCAACCUGCAUAUCACAUCAUAUUAGCCUUCAAAGUUGGUCUCCAUGGGGGCUUUAAGAUCAAGUAAGAUUAAUUUUAAAUAAUCUACAAACCUCUCUUCUUGCGACAUGCCAGAGUGGAUGCAUAUUGAGGGGAAAUUGCAUUCUACCAGCAACUUGUUCAGCUCCGCAGCUCUGCUCACGCUCUUCACAAAUAUGACAACUUGAUUGAAGUCCAACGCAUCAAGAAGGUCAUUCAACUUGCGGUUCUUCUCCAUCUCGUUCAGUUUGAUGUAGUGCUGUUACGGUAGGACAGAAAAAAGAUUAGUUAAUUAAGUAUCAAGCAACAACAAAUAUGAAUAAUAAGACCACCUCACUCAGUAAAAGUACCUGGACAAGUCCAUGAAGAGUCAACUUGGCUUCAUCAUCAACAUAUAUUUCCAUUGGCUGUAAGGAACAGAUAUCAGAGUAAAUGGUAUUAGCAAGCUUUCCUCAGGCAAUGACUUCCACAACUAAAAUGAGGACGGAUGAAGAACCCCUGAACUGAGAUCCUCGUCCAUCAGGUUUCCUCUUGAAAGAUGUGAGUAUUGCAAUGAAACAUCAAUAUUGCUCCGCACAUUAAGGCCAAUAAAAUUGAGCAUGAUGAAACCUUGAGGCCACAUAACUCCCGACUCAAAACCGACCCAGCACUGUUAGUAUUGUAGAUAUAUAGGAAAGGAAAAACACCGUGAUGAUAGUAGAUCCCACUGAGCACAGACAUCACUAAACCACAAUCUACAUUGCCUAUUCAGAGUGUCCUAAUUCUCUAAACCCUAAAAAGGUACCCAAUGUAUUAUUCAAUUAAGACCCUGCAUCCACGUAUCAAUGGCAGAUUUCCCAGGGCAGAGGGUGCUCAAAUAAACCUACGAUCUCCCAGAGAAGGCUAAACAUAAUUCAAGAUUACAAGACUUGCAAACCGAGGUAGUAUUGGCUGUGGGACAUUACAUCUUGC
rnacentral:lncRNA from 1 species